CUCAGGGACCUGUGGGACAACAAAAGAUCUAAAGUUCCUGUUAGAGCCUCUGAAGAGGAGGAGAAAGUGUGGAGCUGAAAAAGUACUCAAAGAAGUUAUGGCUGAAAACUUCUCAAACUGGGAUAUGACUGAAUCCUCAGCAGCAAAUAGAAUUCACUGGUCCAUUAUAUGAACACAAAGGCUGUUAGAAUGUGCAUGCCUGGGAGUACCUGGAAUAACACAGGUAAAAUCAGGAGUGUUCUGAGAAAGCAGGAUGGAAAGAUGAAGAUUUGAGACUGUCUUGCCUACUACCUGGCAGGCCAACAGGACGGAACGAGUAAAGUCUCUGGCAGAAGGCUGCAGCUCAACUGCUGAAGGUUUUACUAGUGGUGAACUAGGAAAGUAUAUCUGUGGAAAGCAAUGUUGUUAAAGAAAUUGCCACAGCCACCUUCACCUUCAACAACCACUGCCCUGAUGAGUCAGCAGUCAUUAACAUGGAGGUGAGAGCUUCAACUAGGAAAAAGAUUGACUCACUGAAAGCUCCAAUGAUGGUUCACAUUUUUUAGCAAUAAAACAUUUUUAAAUUAAGGUA